CCCCAUCUCUCUCUCUUCUCUCUCUCUCUCGCUCUCGCGACUGUGAGCAUGGUAAACGACGGCAUCCCAGGGAGCUCCCUUUGAAUCUCUCCGACGCCCUCACAAAAUCACUUUCUCGGCUAGCAUCGUUUGUCCCAGGGAGCUCCGCCUCGGCCUAGUUCCUCUCUGUCGUCAUGGCUUCAGGAACCGGUUGGUUUUCGCAUUCGCAGCUUCGCACGAGGAAUAGAAAAAUGAAAAUGCUUUAACAGCAUCAAGGACUAAAGAGGAAUUCUGGAAUGAUAAAAGGAACAUCAUUCGUGUGAACUAGUCGCACUGAAGUCAACAGGGUAUCAUCUUAUGUCAACAAUAAUAGG